UACAGAUGACCAAGGAGGAGCCUAAAAGAAGCUGAUUUAUGAAAAUAUUAAAAUUAAGCCUUCACUGCGCUAAGUUGCUUAGAAACAUACAAGUAACUGCCUGCAUAUCAGAAAUAAAUAAAUAGAGAAAGAAGAAACAAAAGGGCCAGAAUGGGGAUGUCAAACGCAGAGCGUCA